CUGAUAUGUACACUUUGGGAAGUAUUCAAGGCAGUGGUAAUGACAUAACAUGCGUCCUCUCUGGCCCUGCCUCCUCGUAUUGGGCUGCUUUGCCUUUAAAUGCCUAGUAUGGGUUUUUGGCACAGUCCGUACUGAGCCCAUGUCUGUUAAUCCUCCAUAUAUGUCUGUUAACCAUCCAAGAGCAUCUGUUAAGCCCCAUGUGUGUC